UCCGGACGGACGCCGAGUCCUGCCGCCGUCCGGACGCCUGGUCGACACCAGUGGAUCGGCAGGAGUGGAGGACCCGAGCAGUACGGGGAGGCCACCGCACGCGGUGCGGAUACCGGUCCCCCCUUGGGGUGAAGCCGCGUCAGCGGCCGGGCAUCUUCGUCCUGUCCGAACCCGACAGGCAAUCCUUCACAGGCGGGUUGACGAAGGGUACU
rnacentral:sRNA from 2 species